GCAUGUAUUUGGUUAUUCUUCCUUUUCUAUUUUAUUAAUCUGGCUAGUAGUCUAUCUAUUUUGUUUAUCUUUUCAUCAAUGCAUAUUUUUUGUGAGGAGUUUCUUUCUGUGUUUUUCAAGGAAGGGUAUUUAUGCUGGCUUUGAAAAAAAGCGUUUUCCAAAAAUAAAUAAAUUAGGAUACAUCUAUGAGUUAAUCACAUUACAGCCAUUGCAAUGUUCAUGUAGAAGUAUGACACUUGUUUCCAAUAUGGUGUUGUUCCCCAAAUGAAUAAGCUAGGAAACAAUAUGUAUAGUAUGAUUCCAUUUUUUGCAUAAAUUGUAUGCUUAUAUAUUAUACCUAUAUGCAUAAAUUACAUUUACAAAAUGGAAAUUGGGAUGUACCAUGUUUUAUUAUGUGUAUUGAAGGACUUUCCAGUAAUCAUUUGUAACAUACACAUGAACAAUUUAUAUUGUUACUUAAGUUAGUAUUAGAUAACAAUUAAAUUGUUAUUUACAUUGGUUAUAAAAAUGAUACUUUUCCCAUCAUCUCUUCUUUUCUCUUCUCUGAGAGUUACAAGAAAGACAGGGGUUAUAAUCCUACUUCAGCUAAUAUGAUCUAGAGUCAUUUGUCCAGUUUCCUUGCACAGGUUCUCUAACCAUAUAAUAGGAGUAGUAAUGCCCAUCUGUAUCCUCUUGCAAAAGCUGUCAUGAAAUAAUAGAGAUUACUUGGUGUUCUUGGGAAGAAAAUUGGAGUAGAGAUCCUGGGUGUUUCCAUUCAUUAUUAAUAUCACCGCCCACCUCCUGCCAUGUUUUGAAAUGACUCAGGAGCUUAAUGUGUGUGACAAGGGAGUACUUGGGAGAAAGGGAAGGAAUCUGAUGAAAUAUAACUCAAUAUCACAGGUAAAAUAGUUUUUUUUUUUAUCACUUUGCAAGCCUACAGCAUUUUGUUUCUUAUCAUCCAUCAUGAUGUAAUGAUACUCUUGUGUUUUCUGAAGUUUCCUCUCUUCUUUUCUUGUAAUUUGGGCUGUUUAAAAUUUUAAAAAAGCAGUCGUCCUUUUGACUGCGUUAAGAGAGAAAUUUUGCAAGGUGAAGUCUGUGUACUUUUUUUUACCACCCCUUUAUCGUCAUUAAGUCAAAAGCGAAAACUGCCUGAAUAUUCAAGGUAAAACUUAUUUCUGUUUUUCAUUUUGUCCAUAAUAACAUUUUUCUUUUUCUUUUUUUUUAAAUUCUUUAUUUAUAACAUUUUGCUUUUUCUUUACUAAAGCAUCAGAUUUGGAAAGAUGAAAAAUUCUAUCAUAAUUAUUAGAUAAAUCACUUUUCAGGCAGAACUCCUGUAAUUGCUUCAGAUUGCUGGCAUAAGCAAAUUUUUUUCUAUUUAUUAAGUGUUAAGGUGAUAAAAUAUAAUUUUUAUUUUAUUGUAUCCCUUCUAACUGUUUUUUAUUUUUUGAGAUGGAGUUUCGCUCUUGUUACCCAGGCUGGAGUGCAAUGGUGUGAUCUCGGCUAACUGCAAUCUCCGCUUCCUGAGUUCAAGCAAUUCUCCUACCUCAGCCUCCCAAGUAGCUGGGACUACAGGCAUGGGCCACCAUGCCCAGCUAAUUUUUGUAUUUUUAGUAGAGACGGGGUUUUACCUAGUUAACCAGGAUUGUCUCGAUCUCUUGACCUCGUGAUCCUCCCACCUCAGCCUCCCAAAGUGCUGGGAUUAUAGGCGUGAGCCACCGUGCCCAGCUACCUUCUAACUUUUAAGGAACAAUCUCAUCCAUAGCCAUAGAAAGGUUGAGAUAAUCCUAUUUUGCAAUAUAAUGAAAAUAAUAACUAUUAAUUAUUGAGAGCUUA
rnacentral:lncRNA from 1 species